CAUACACACACACACACACCCCUGCAUGUAUGUACUCCUUCCCGUUUACGCCAGUGUGAGCAAUACACAAGCAAUACACAAUACAUGGCAGUAUUGUAGUUCCCCAGCCAGAUGUUUGAGUGGUAUUAACAGUGGCUCAGGCAGUGAUGAGGCGCGGGGCUUGAGAGGUUUCCUGCCAGGUGUUACAGGGCGUUGUGUGUAAUCUUUGUCCCCCAGCCGGGUUAUUGAUUGUUAUUCAUGAAGCUUCUCUUUUCAAUUCAAGAGCGCCCUCGUCCCGGUCAAUAACCGUGAAUGAAGCAACAUCGGCCGCCAGUACAGUGCUCGCAGAUAGCGGUUGUGGGCGUGGGUAGGGGGCUGGAGGUGCGUCAAAGGACCCUUGCAGAGAGAUAUGCCCAGGCUCCUAUUGAAGCCCUCUUUUGUCCAAGAGUUCACAGUCGAUAAAACACCUUUCAGCUGCGGUGUGAUGGUUUCAACCUUUCAUUUGCUAUCUAGAUUAGAUCUCGACUCGGUGAUCUCUGUGAAAUCUACAUUGGAAUUUACCACAAGCUAUCUUCUGAAGUGGGUUGAUUGUGGAACUUGUUGAACUUCUCUCUUGUUGUGUGCUUAAACAAGGGAACACAGUGCCAUCCCAGGCAGCCAUGACCUCUCUCCACCUCCACAGGAGCUUCUUAUGAAAGAGAGAGAGGAAAAGAGAGAAAGACAGAGUGAAAUUGCUUGGCUCAUACUCAUCAAACAAAGAGAGGAUUUUUGUUUUAAUAGGACAUGUACCACAUAUUUUCUAGUAUGUUUGCUCACCUGAUGUUAUGCCAGUUGUAUCGGUCUGUCGAUGAUGUGUAAUAUUACACUAAUAUCUUAAUAAUCUGAAUUUGAUUUCUGUGCUGUAUCAGUCAGUGUGUGCAUGUGCGUAUGAGUAUGUACAUAUGCAUAUCAUUUAAAGUGUGGCAUUCCAUCCAAAAGAACGAGUAGUAAAGUCAGAGAAAGAUG